AUGUUCCUUGCUAACUUGACGUACUUGAAUACCUUGAACCUAUCAUUCAAUAGGCUAGAAGGACAAAUACCCGAGGGAGGUGUUUUCUCAAACCUCACAUUGAAAUCUUUGGUUGGGAACCCUGGACUAUGCGGCGCUCCGCGGCUAAGAUUUCCACCAUGCCUUGAUAGAAAUCGUUCAAGUAAAAGCCACUUGCUUCCAUUUCUACUGCCAACCCUCAUAUUAGCUUUUGGCGCCAUUGCCAUUUACGUAUACCUAUGGUUCAGAAAGAAACUUAAGAAGGGAAAGGACAAUGUUUCUGUUGAUCCAACUGAUGCCAUAGGCCAUCAGAUAGUCUCCUAUCAUGAGCUUGUUCGUGUCACCAAUAAUUUCCAUGAUGAAAACAUCUUGGGAUCCGAAAGCUUUGGAAAAGUCUUUAAGGGCCAACUGAGCAGUGGUUUGGUGGUUGCGAUAAAAGUUCUUGACAUGCAACUAGAGCAGGCCAUCCAAAGCUUUGAUGCGGAGUGUCGAGUGCUUCGUAUGGCACGACACCGCAACCUGAUAAGGAUACUUAACACAUGUUCCAACCUUGACUUCAGAGCCCUGGUGCUUCAAUACAUGCCAAAUGGUAGCUUAGAGAUGCUCCUUCAUGGAUCACAAAGCACAACAACGCGCUUGGGAUUCAUUGAGAGGCUGGGCAUCAUGCUUGAUGUUUCGAUGGCAAUGUCUUAUCUACACCAUGAGCACUAUGAGCUGAUCUUGCAUCGUGACUUGAAGCCUAGCAAUGUGUUGUUUGACGAGGACAUGACGGCGCAUGUGGCAGACUUUGGCAUUGCAAAGUUGGUUCUAGAUGACAACUCCAUGAUAAGUGCGAGCAUGCCUAGAACAAUUGGGUACAUGGCACCAGAGUAUGGGUCACUUGGAAAAGCAUCGCGGAAGAGCGACGUCUUCAGCUAUGGGAUCAUGCUCCUUGAACUCUUCACUGGAAAGCGACCCACUGCCACUAUGUUUGGCGCACAAUUAACGCUCAGGCGGUGGGUUCAUGAGGCAUAUCCUGCAGAGCUUGUCAAGGUCGUCGAUGGACAGCUAUUACAUGGCUCCUCUCUUUCUAGCUGCAUCUUGGACGAUGGCUUUCUUGCUUCAAUAUUUGAGUUGGGUUUGAUUUGUUCUAGCGACUCUCCAGACCAGCGAAUGACGAUGCACGAUGUGGUCGUGACGCUGAAGAAGGUCAAAGCUGAGUACACUAAACAGACAACAAAAACAUGA
rnacentral:rRNA from 1 species